UAUAAGCCAAUAUACCAAACCUGCAGAGUCCACUGAAAGGCCAAGCAAUCAUGCCAGAAUCUCAGACCAGCAUUGCCCCAACCUACCGUGGUUGGUCUAUUUUCAACAUUUUAUGCUGCUGUUGGCCUCUUGGAGCUUUUGCACUGUAUUACUCUUGUAAGGCAAAUACUGCAAAUGAAGCUGGAGACACCGCCGCAGCUCAGGACGCAUCAAAAACAGCAAGGACCCUGAAUAUCCUCUCCCUCAUCUGUGGACUUAUUCUCAUCCCUAUCAUCAUCUAUUACUACAGCCAAAAUCAGAAGCAUCACUGAUUUGUCACUGUAGAAAUAUCUUCUUCUUCUUCUUCUUCUCCUCCACCGGCAGUUGAAAGUAAAUGACUGAUCUUAUCUACAUCUGUCAACAUGAAUGCUGUCAAAAAUAUUCUUUGGUACUUUGUUUCACCCUCAAUUGUAAAAUCAUUUAAAGUUUGUUGAGACAGAAAACAGCAUUGUUUAACUUUGUUCGGUGCUGGUUGCAAAUAAAGAAAACUUGAAAUGGC